UGAGUACGAGACGCUAAGGCGUCGAAGUAGUGGAUGUCAUACUUCCAAGAAAAGCUUGCACUGUCAUAAGUAAAAAACGCCUGUACCAUAACCGACACAGGUGGGUAGGUAGAGUAUACUAAGGGGCGCGAGAUAACUCUCUCUAAGGAACUCGGCAAAAUAACUCCGUAACUUCGGGAGAAGGAGUGCCUUAUUCGUAAGGCUGCAAUAACAAGAUCCAAGCAACUGUUUAUCAAAAACACAGGUCUCCGCUAAGUCGUAAGACGAUGUAUGGGGGCUGACGCCUGCCCAGUGCCAGAAGGUUAAAGAAGUCGGUUAGCAUUAGCGAAGCUGGUAACUGAAGCCCUGGUGAACGGCGGCCGUAACAAUAACGGUCCUAAGGUAGCGAAAUUCCUUGUCGGGUAAGUUCCGACCCGCACGAAAGGCGUAAUGAUUUGGAUACUGUCUCGGAGAGGGGCUCGGUGAAAUAGACUUGUCUGUGAAGAUGCGGACUACCUGCACCAGGACAGAAAGACCCUAUGAAGCUUUACUGUAACUUGAAAUUGAAAUUGGACUUUAUUCGCGCAGUAUAGGUGGGAGGUGUUGAUUAUAAUCUUGCGGGAUUAUUGGAGCCAUCAGUGAGAUACCACUCUUGUAAUGUUAGAUUUCUAACUUUGAAUCAUUAUCUGGUCAAAGAACAGUUUCAGGCGGGCAGUUUGACUGGGGCGGUCGCCUCCUAAAUGGUAACGGAGGCGUACAAAGGUUUCCUCUGAACGGGUAGAAAUCGUAUCUAGAGUGUAAAGGCAUAAGGAAGCUUGACUGUGAGACCUACAAGUCGAGCAGGGACGAAAGUCGGUCUUAGUGAUCUGACGGUACUGAGUGGAAAGGCCGUCACUCAACGGAUAAAAUUUACUCUAAGGAUAACAGGCUGAUCUCCCCCAAGAGUUCACAUCGACGGGGAGGUUUGGCACCUCGAUGUCGGCUCAUCGCAUCCUGGGGCGGUAGUACGUCCCAAGGGUUGGGCUGUUCGCCCAUGAAAGCGGUACGCGAGCUGGGUUCAGAACGUCGUGAGACAGUUCGGUCCAUAUCCGGUGUAGGCGUUAGAAUAUUGAGAGGAGCCUUCUUUAGUACGAGAGGACCGAGAAGGACAUACCUCUGGUGUACCAGUUAUCGUGCCAACGGUAAACGCUGGGUAGCUAUGUAUGGAGUGGAUCACCGCUGAAAGCAUCUAAGUGGGAAGCCCACCUCAAGAUAAGUAUUCUCAC
rnacentral:rRNA from 1 species